UACGUAGGGUGCAAGCGUUGUCCGGAAUCAUUGGGCGUAAAGCGCGCGUAGGUGGUCAUGUAAGUCCGCUGUGAAAGUCAAAGGCUCAACCUUUGAAAGCCGGUGGAUACUGCAUGACUAGAGUACGGAAGAGGCGAGUGGAAUUCCUGGUGUAGCGGUGGAAUGCGCAGAUAUCAGGAGGAACACCAAUAGCGAAGGCAGCUCGCCGGGACGUUACUGACACUGAGGCGCGAAAGCGUGGGGAGCGAACAGG
rnacentral:rRNA from 1 species